UGUCAAUUAACAUGUAUCAUUAAUAUGUAUAAUGUAAAGAUAUAAAAAUCACAAACAUCUGUGUGUCCACGGGCACUGAUCUGGGCCUUCUGCUGCCCCUGUGCCCCGCUGCUUCCAAUAAAGCACUGACAUAUAAUUGCCUUUGUGUGGUUAUAUGUUUUCUGAAUGCUAACAUACCUAAAGCUCUGGAAUAAUAAAAAAAUCAUGUAGAAAUAAAUUCAUUUAUUUCUACAUGAUUCCCAGUGUGGGAAUGGCUCUGUAACACCUCUGAACUGUCUCCACCAGUUAUCUUUGAUGUUCAUGCUGUCGGUGCUCCUAUUGACCCAUCAGCUGCCUCCCACCCAUGCAGUGCCCACAAGCCUCCCACGGAUGCAUCAACAUCCUCCAAAAGUCUUUCAAACAGUUUUUGUUCUCUCCUAGCUGGGGUCAGGAGUAGGUUCACCUCUCCAGGGUGUUUGCAUGGCAUUGCUGCGGUAUCUCCCACAUUCCUCCCUCCUGUGUGGGAGGACAGGCAUGGAAUCGUGAGGAAUUUGACCAUUUUAUUCCCUCUCCUGCCUGCAGAAACCACUGUCAAUCCUGGAAAGGCUUCAGUCUUCUGCAAGGCUCCCUGGCUCUGGGCUGGCUCCAGUCCUGCUCUGGAGACUGCUCUGUUACCUCUAGGAUGGCCCAGGGUGGUCUCUCCUCUUCCUCUAGGCACUGGUGGAAGAGGACACCAAGAUGGAUGAAGGUUUUCCACACAGCAGACCCAAGCCUCUGUGGGAACCCCAAGGACCAAGGUGGAAGGCAUCAGGAUCCAAUGGGACUCGUGGCUGCAGUGGUGGCUACCAAACCCCUGCAGCUUUUGCUGUGCCAGCAGGGAGGUUCCUUUCCUGUGGGAUCACCUCUUCUUCCUCACUGCUGGUGCUGAGUCUCUCAACUGGGUUCUUCCCAGUUGGCUCCACUUCCCCCAUGUCAGAGUGUGCCAUGAGUGUGGCUGCUGCUCAGCAACAAAAAAUCAUGAUACAGGUUAUAAAAACACCAGAAGUGAUGGGAAAGGGGUGUUUUCCUCCUGGUGGGACAUCUCCAAGAAGCUCCAUAUCUGAGGGGAUGGCCCAGGAGGCCAACUGGAGCUUCACUGUCCUCCUCUCCUGGUGGCUUGGCCCAAGAACUCAGCAGAGGAGAGAGCAGAGCAUCCCCAUGAUCUGCCGGGGUGGAUUCGGGCUCAUCUGCUCCAGUCUGCAGCCUGAUUGCUGAGGUGGGACCAGGAAGGGGAGUCUUCUGUUUACUCACAUAGUUUCAAGGGUUAAAUCCUGGUGUCUCCAUCUCCCUUCAGGAACCUGGGAAUGGGGAUAUCUUGUUUCCUUCGUGUCCACAUCCACCAAAUAACUCCCUCCUGCUUCUGCUCAGGCCUGCCAGUCCUGACCCUGGAGCUUGGCCAACCCUUGGCCAGCCUGUCCCCAGGAACUGCCUGCUACCCUGUGCCUUGGAUGUGGGACCAACACCUCGCUGGUGGGUUUUCUUCCUCCACAACCAUUGGCUGAAGCAGAGGAUCCAGGAAAAUAUCAGGCCUCUGUGAGCUUCUACACCCAGCAGAGUGAGUGGCGAUGGUCUUGGUGUCCUGGGUGGCUUCAUCUUCCAGGAAUUGCUUUUUGAAGCCACCCUCAUUCUCCUGCAUCAGGAGAAAUCCUAUGGAGAAACAUCUUUGGUCAUGCAGGAUGCAUUGGAUGGUCCUGGGUUUUGCACAAGAGGCAGUGAGUCAUCCCUGCCUCAUCACUAUCUUCUCUGGACUCAUCGGGAUAUCACAGACCUCGGUCACGUCUGCCCUUGGUGCCCCCUUCCCAGCCUGUUUCACCACCGUUUUCACAGCACCCUGAGUUUUGGAGGAAGUGAGCUGGGGACAGCCACUCUUCGAGGGUGUUUUCCAUGGAAGCUGCCGGGGGAAGGAUGCUCGUGGGAUUUGGGAAGCCGCCCUUGUUUGCAGGGUGUGAGGAGCCUGGUCUGGGAACAUCUUGUGCUGCCGGCAGUGGGAGGCGGUGGUGGCUCCGGACGCUGUUGCUGCUCCGCUGAGCAAACCCGUGGGCGCAGGGAGCUGUUGGAGCGGGAGCACCCUGGGUUUUGCCAGGGAUGCUGCUGGCCUGUCCCGCCUGUAGGAGCUGAGGCAGCCGAGCCUGCCACGUACCCGAGAGCUGGGGAUGAACCUGAAGCCGCUCCUUGAGCUGGGAGCCGGCCAAGUUCUACUGGCCAAGUGUCUUCUCUAUUCCCUUCUAGGCUUUUUCCAUGCCUGGGUGUAUUUCCACAGUGUGGAGACGGGUGGAAAAUUACUGGUGAUGCUCCAGUGCCAGGUCCCUGCCCUGGCAGAGGUGAGCUAAGGCCAAGCACUCAUCCAGGGAACUCCUCAUCACGAGAUGCUGCUGGGGCUGGAAUGCCUUGAACAAGCAGCUAAGUAGUUAAAAAAACAAAAACAACAAAAAACAACAACAACCACACACACACACAAAAAAAAGCUACUAAAAAUAAGUAAGUCCUUUUUUUCUGUUUUGUUUUCUGCUUAAAAAUGUUUCUCUGAAGAGAUCCGUCCAUGACAGCCCACUGAAGUUUUUGCAGCCCAACAGCUGCUUGGGUUCUGCUCCUCAAAAGUACCAUGAGAAAGUACAAAUACAUCCCAAGCAGAGCAGAUAAACCAGGUUAAACGAUGUGCACCAACAUCCACAGCCCCAAAUCCCUGUGAUCCCACCCUCAGGGAGGAAAGCAGCAGUGGGAGAGAGCUUGGGAUGACAGGGAGCAGGUGGGUUUGGUGCAAUGGCUCAGGAUGGGAUGGAUGGAGGGAUGGAUGGAUGGACAGACAGAUGGAUGGAUGUUUAGAGGAGCAGGAAGACCUCCUUUCUGCUGCCCAAGGCAUGAUUCACAGCCCACAGGCUGCUCCUCCAAGGAAGCAGAGGGAACACCACAAUCCUCCUGUCAUGGGAAAACCCCGAUUUCAACACGCAAACCAAGGAGCUGAGGUUGGGGUGCUGCAUCCCUGGGAUCCCUGGGAGUCUCCAUCCCAGCGUGGUUCCCCACCUCCAGGCUCAGAGAUGCUCAUCUAACCCAGUUUCCCCACGGCAGGACUGGUGGGAGGGAUGGAGCGUGCCCUGCUCACAUCCAGCUCACUGGAAAAUCCCCUUGGCUGGGACAGAAGAAGCACAUGGACAUCACAUCCCUCAGACUGCUGAUCCAGGCCUCUCCUCUCCUCUGCAAUGGCACCUCCAGCCUUCCUCUUUUUCUCCUGAAACUGCUGAUCUGGCCCAUAUUUGUGAGCUGUUUUAAAGGCAGUCCGAAGAUCCCUCACCUGCCUCACGACCAUCACCAAAGGACUGAAACCCUAAAGCACAGAAGCUCUGGCCCGGCUGAGGUGGGAUGUCUGCCCAGCACUGCCUGCAGGUGUGCUCGCCGGACCAGGAACCAGGAUGCACGAGCAUGGGAAGGAACAGUGGGCAGGGCCUGUGCUUGCCCAGAAUGGCCUGUCCUGUACCUGUUCCCUUGAUGAUCUCCCCACCUUUCGGGCAGCUGCCUGUCCCUUUGGAAAGGCUAUAGACUCCCUGACUAAACCAAACUAAACCUUCCCCACAGAAGAAGACGGAUCCAUUGGUGGAUGACCACGAGGACUUCAUCUCAUCUGUUGGUAGCUAUUCCCCCCCUCUCCUUCUCUCCUUCCCUCUCUUUGUCUCUCUCUCUCUCUCUCUCUCUCUCUCUCCCUCCUCUGUUGCAUUUCCUGUUGUGUGCACUCAAUAAAGGUGCAUUGUUCUGAUUUAAACAGGAAUCCCCUGUGUCUUUUUGCACUCUGAGAUCAAUAAACGAACCAUCACGAUGCCCGCUUGCAUUAGUGGAUCAUGACAAGCUGUUUUAGGGAAUUUCACUUCCAGCCAGGAAGGGCAAGCCCAGGUGUUUGGAUGCCCAUCAAAGGAGAACAUCUGCUUGGCAAACAUAGCAAAGGCAUUCAUCACCUUCAGACACCUCUCUUCCCACCCAACAAUUUUCAGUGCCCAAAAAGGAAAACAAAAUAACAAAUGAGUGAGGCUCUUGGCUGUGCCUGCUGCAGCAUCCCUGGAUGGGGCUGCAGGAGCUUCUCUGGCCCAGCUGGGGACAGGACAUCC